AACUGGAGUUUGCCAUAUAUGCGCAUAAACACCCACACGCACAGAAGUACGAUUGCGUCAUAGUGGAUACGUAUACAUAGAUACACUCUAAAAAACGGUAGGCGCACAGACACCACCGAGCACCACCUCGGCUCGUUAGUGUCGCCGUUGCGUCGCCUCUCCUCCCCGCGACGUCAUUGCAGACGCGAGGAUAGCCCCGCAAGGCGAAAUAAAAAGAAGCUGAAGACGACUGCACCAUUGCUGCCAGCGGCAUCACCAGCCCUCUCAUCACCACCAUCACCACCCACCCCCUUCUAACGAGGGCACAAUGGCGGCCAAGAGGGAAUUUUAUGUGGACUUUGAGGUGAAGUUUGGGAAGACGGUCGUCUCGCUUGAGAUGCCGGCCUCCGCCACUGUGCACGAUCUGAAGCACAGACUGGAGGAGCAGACACACGUGCGCCUGGACAAGCAGCGACUGUUGCUCAACCUGCCUGUUCUAAAGGCAAAGCACAGAGAUCCGCCGCACGAUACGGUGGUUCGCCUUCUCUUUCCGACGGAGCUGGUCAACCGCUGCGAGCAGCACGACGGGCCUGUGGCGCAGCACGUGAAGGUGAGCGCCAUGUUGCUCGGCAGUGCCGAGACGGCCCCGGCGGUGAACGUGGCGGCGACAUCCGAGAUAUCGCGCUUGGUCGCCACCACGGUGGAGCACGACGGCAAGUGGUACCGCUGCUCCUACGCACGAGGCUAUCUGCGGCAGACGGCGUACGUCUGUCGCACAUGCAUCGACGAGGGGAGGGCUGACCCACAACACGCGCUCUGCCUCGCUUGCGCCGAGUUCUGCCACGGAAAUCACGAGGUCGAGGAGUGGGGCGUGCGGUACUACAUGCGAUGCGACUGCUGCACGCAGAAGUGCUGGCGGCCUCCAGCGGAUCCGGAGGCGGCGGCAGAGGCCGCCGCAGAGCGUCUAGCGGGGCUCUCUUCCUCGCCAUCCGUAGCGUCCGCCCCGGCCUCCGGGUCCAAAGUGUGCGCCGUGCAGAUGCACGACAUUGAAGAGCGCACCACGCGCAAGCGCGCGCGUUCGACAUCGCCGCUGACACCGAAGCGCUCGCGCGGCAGCUCGCCUGUGAGUGGCAUUCGCAUGGCCACGAUCCCGCCGGCAGACAUGCCGGAGAUCAUCCUGCACCACUCCACCGCCGCUGGUGCGGCGGCGGCGUCGUUAGUGAGUGCCUCGAGACCAUCACAAGACGCUAGCAGGCCCCUUCCCUCGUCGUCCGCGUUCUCCCCAGGACCGUCGCCGCCCUUGGCCGCUGCCGACGAGACGGGUGCCUCGCCGAGUGCCUCGAACGGGCGGGCCUUUGUCGGCAAGCGCGCCUCUGACGGCGGCGACGAGGGCGGCGACAUCUACGGCGACCACGGCGAGGGGAAGCACAGUGACGCGCUCCCGCCACCGCUGCCGGAGCUGAGUCGCUGUGCCUUCGUCGUGGACAGCAAGACAAAGAAGGCGCCAGUGGAGUCGGUUCUGCCAACGAAUCGGCACAACCGCUACCCACGCGACCCGUUCAACUGGUGCUACUGCAAAAACGCCUACCCCAGUGACGACCCCGAGUGCGGCGGUAUUGCCUGCAUGCUCUGCUGCAGCUGCUACUGGAGCACCCACAUCACGAGGCUGCACACAUACCAGUACCGGCGUAUGCCGUGCUACGGCGAUGUGCUGCUCGGCGACACGGUCGCCUUCAAGUGCAAGACAUGCAACACUCACGUGUGUGUGCCGUGCCGAUACCGCUGCCACAAGGACCACGACGUUGAGGAGGCGUUGGUGACCCCGUCGAAGGACGAUGGCACCGACAACAGCGGGCCGGAGGGGGUAAGGUUCAGCUGCGGCUGCCGGGGGCUCUGCGCCAUUGCGGAGGAGGUUCCGGCCGAGAUGAUCGAUGAUGAAAGCACAUUCGACCCGAUCCCAGACUCCGUGGCAACAGAGCUGAUGAAUGACGAUGUCUUCACCGGAUUUGUGUGCGCCUACUGCAUGCAGGAGCACCCAUGGAUGGCGACGGAAGACCCACUGAGGUGCUACCACGGCGAGCUGCCGCCGAUGACACCCGCGAAGAAAGUGGUGCUUGCCUGCGGCACCAAGUCUGCAGCGCCCCACUCGGCAGACAUGGAGGACUCCGACGUGUUCCCGUACCACGGGAUGCUGUUGCCGGUGAACGCCUUCACGGACGGCAUGACGUGCUCCUGUAGGCUGUGCCGCUCUGCUUUUGACCAGUUCGCGCCGCGCGCGACAGAGAACGCGACGGAGAUGAUCAUGGAGCUGCAUGACCACUGCGACCACUGCGGCAAAUCCGUCAAGGACCAGCAGGCCUUCAUGUGCCGCACAUGCGAGAUGAACCUCGACAACACCUUCUUCAUCUGCAAAGAUUGCAACGCGAUGCGGGAGUUGCUGGUGCAGAAUGGCAAUCGCGUGCGGGCCUUGGCCGGUCCGCAGAACGAUGAGGCACCGCCACAGUCGGACGAGAGGGAGCAGGGGGAGGUGGGAGGGGUGGGAGGGGUGACGGCAGAAGGCUCUGAAUUUGACGCAGCGAUCAACAGCGCGGACGACGAGACCCUGCCCGAGGCCGGCGGGUACGACCACGAUCUCUCACACGAGUUCAUCGAGGACACCUUCGAAAACUUGUACGCGCUCUGCGGAAUGCAGAUUCUGCAGAACAUGGACCCCGAGAUGCAGGAGUACGUCGCUUCUAACUGGAAUCCAAUGGUGAACCAGGUGGAAGUGGUGAACACCUUGUCGCAGUCGCUCGGGCAGAUUCCGUUGCAGUUUGAUGAGGAUGAGCUGCGAGAGAUGGCCGUGCUGAACCAAAAGCCCAACGAAACACAGGGGCGCAUAUGAAAGAAUGCGCAGCAGCGGGGGUAGCGGACAGAGAGAGAGAGACAGGACGAAGCCCACGGUAACAUAAAACAGCGCUGCUCAUGAGAGCCGUGUACCGCUCUCACGACCUCGCAUACGCUCGAUCAGCGCCUCAUGCGGCAGCGCGCGGCGCACCUCGCUUGACGUUUGUGGCAUGACAUAUUGCGUGGGCCAGCAGUUGCCGGGCAGUCGCUCAGUGUCUUUGGCCUGCAUACGUAUACGCUUGGGAGGAGAUUUGAGUGAGCAGACCUGUGGGUAUGUGUCUCUCUCGAAGUGGUGGCAGAUUGAUGCCAUGUGCCAGACCCGCAUCACCCACCCCCACCCACACACGCACACGAAAACAAAAAAAGGCAGGGGCCAUUCGACAGCGCUGAACAUCGACGUGGAAUGGCCCUCCUUACCCUCGUUGCCGUCUCGUUUGCCGCGCACUGUGGCGACGCGCGACGUUAAGCAGAGUCGAGAAAGGCGAAGGUAUAAACUCGAGCGUCUUUCUCUUGUCUUUUGCGACGCAAUGACCAAGCGAAACGUAGAAAGAGCUGCCCCUCAUCCCCCUCCCCGCCCCACACGCACACAGACAUCUCGCCGACAUUC
rnacentral:misc_RNA from 1 species